rnacentral:rRNA from 1 species
UACGUAGGGUGCAAGCGUUGUCCGGAAUUAUUGGGCGUAAAGAGCUCGUAGGCGGUCUGUCGCGUCGGCUGUGAAAACUCGGGGCUCAACCCCGAGCCUGCAGUCGAUACGGGCAGACUAGAGUGCGGUAGGGGAGACUGGAAUUCCUGGUGUAGCGGUGAAAUGCGCAGAUAUCAGGAGGAACACCGGUGGCGAAGGCGGAUCUCUGGGCCGAUACUGACGCUGAGGAGCGAAAGCGUGGGGAGCGAACAGG